UACGGAGGAUCCAAGCGUUAUUCGGAAUAACUGGGCGUAAAGAGUUGCUUAGGCGGUUUGUUAAUCGAGAUUUGAAAUCCCAAGGCUCAACCUUGGAACUGCAUUUCGAACUGGCAGACUUGAGAAUGUGAGGGGAAACUGGAAUUCCAGGUGUAGGAGUGAAAUCCGUAGAUAUCUGGAGGAACACCAAUGGCGAAGGCAGGUUUCUGGCACAUUACUGACGCUGAGGCACGAAAGCGUGGGGAGCGAACGGG
rnacentral:rRNA from 1 species